rnacentral:rRNA from 1 species
UAAGUGGUGGAAAUUAAACCAACUGGGAUCUCUUCAGUAAUUGCGCAUGAACCAGGAUAUGCUUAGCUUGACAAAUGGAGCUGCUGGCUCUGAAUUGUAUUGUGGGAAUGUAUUACCAACAGAGGUGCAGGUCACACUCCUUGGCAUUGGAAUGCAAAGUGGGUGGUAAGUUUCAUGCAAAGGUAAAUAUGCAAUUGAGACUGAUAGCGCACAAGUACCAUGAGGGACAUAUGAAAAGGACUUUGAAAAGAGAAUUAAAUGAGUUUGUAUUUGCUAAACACAAAGUAAACAGACUUGAUUUCCUCAGUGAGAUUGUAGUGCUUGCUUAACAAUGGGUUUUGGCUGCAAGUGCAAUAAUUCUUGCUUUGUGUGCCCGUUUUUAUGUGGACAUUUGAUUACCUUUGCACAUGAAUGGUAAUUUUCCUGCGGGGUGUGGAUUGCAUAUGCAUGUAAUGAUUUGCAUGUUUGUUAAAUGUGUCUGGUGUAUUUGUUUGUGUCCUUAUCCUUGAGGUUGCUUUCUCCCUUGGGCUUACAUGCCCUGGCACACACAUUCUGGCAAAAUGCUUCUGCUUGACCCG